rnacentral:tRNA from 1 species
UAGCCUAGUGGUUAAGGCUAUGGAUCGCCAGUCCGAAGACGGCGGGUUCGAUUCCCGU